UUAUUUUCGCAGUUAUAUAAAGUAGCAAAUUAUCGUUCCUGAAUAGGUGGCGCCGUGGUAGCGGAUCCUGUUCCUCUUCUUCCGGUUUCUGCACUCUGCAACUAUUUCAGUUAUAUUUUUAAUUAACGAUGCCAAUUACUUGUUGUUGUGUACCUGGAUGUCAUUUAAGAGGAGGACAUGCAUUUCCAAAUGACUUAAAAAGAAGGAAAAGUUGGAUCAACGCCAUGGCCCAUACGCAGAUUGGACGAGAACACGAUGAUAUCGUGGAGUCCAUCUCAAUCUGACAGCUGUUGUUUGCAAGGCACGUUUUACUGAAAAAGACUACGUGCAGGAAACUAUUCAUGGGCGCAAACCCACCAUACAGAGACUUAAGUCUACUGCAAUUCCCAGCCUAUUUUCCUGGACCAAGCAAGAGACUGAAUCGUCCGCAAAAAGAAAAAUCAGGGCAGUUUCCUGUGAAAACAAAAGAACUAAACUUGAUGAAUAUUGUAGUAGAAAUCUAGAGGAAAGUUUUGAUUGUAAAGUUGGUUUUCCUGAAGAAGUCAUUCAUACUGCAGAAAGGAUUUAUGACUGUCCACCACCAACUGCCGAGCUAAUGUUGAGCUUCACAGAUGGAAUUACGCAAACACCAUCAAUGCCUAUGUUUUCAGCAGAGAAUUUUGAAAUGAAGACACGUGACACAGCCAUGCAUUUUUAUACCGGUUUAGAGUUGUAUACUAAAUUUUUAUUUGUUUUGACCACACUUGGUCCAGCAGCACAUUGUUUGAGAUACAUAUAUUUUCAAAUUGAUAGGGUGUCAGUUGAAAAUCAGUUUUUUUAUGACUUUGAUGAAAUUGAGGCAUCAUACAACCAACUUUGAACUGUCUAGAUUCUAGAUUGAAUCUAGUGUUAAGAAUAUUGUGUAUACAUGGAUUAUUUUUAUGUCUAAACAGUGGUGUGAGGCUAACACUUGGCCAUCUAGUGGUUUAGUCAGGUAUUUUUCACCAUCCAACUUCAAAUUAAAGUUUCCUACGA